ACUUUGAUAAUUUUUUAAGAAAUAAUAUUUUAAGUUCAAAUAUAAUCAAAUGAUAACAUCAGAUUCCACGAUUUUCAAUGGUUCAAAGUUAGCAAUAGUUUUGAUGGAAGCACAUUUUUUCGCUUUAGAAGAUAAAACUGAUUUUAGCAAUUUAAUAAAAUUUAGAAAUUAACAAUUUUGGAAGCGUCAAAUUUUUAAAAUAUAAAAAAUUGUUAUAAAAACUUUUUCAAUUUCUUAUUUAUAAUUCAAUUUUGCUAUGAAAAAUAAAGAAAACUGUACAGUUAAGAAGAAAAAAUUUGCAUUUAUGUAUGUAAAUUUUACAUUGAAUUGAGCAAAUAAAUUUGCAUUAAAUUAAAGAAUAUAAUAAAAUGAAAAAAAGUGAGGCAAAUUUAUCAAAUAUCAUUCAUUUAUUUAUAUUUAUUGUGGUAAAAUUGAUAAUGAAUUUUAAAAUUAUGCAAAACAUUUCAUUGGUGAUAAUCAUUUCGAUGGUAAGUAUGAUAGUCAUUUUGAUGAUGAAUAUAUGAUGAUAAUAAUUUUGAUGAUGAAUAUAUGAUGAUAAUCAUUUUGGUGAUGAAUAUAUGAUGAUAAUCGUUUUGGUGAUAAUCAUUUUGAUGAAAAGAAAAAUGGGAAAAGAAUUUUCCUUUUUUUCCUUCUUUUAAUUUUAUUUUUAUCAAAAUCUUUAAUUAAUUUUAAUUGGAUAUGAAGAAAUGAACAAAUAAUUUAAUAAUUAUAUAUAUGUCAUUUGCAAACAUUGAUAUUUUUUCCGUUCUGUCAAUCAUGAAAAAUCUCAUAGAGCAUACAUUUCUUUAUCAUUAAAAUCCAUUAUCACUAUCUGAUUAUUAUAGUUGAAAUUAAUAUAAUGCAAUAUUUAACUUAUCCAUCUGUAUAUUACAGUGUCAUUUUAAUUUAUGAAAAAAUGAGCCAUUCGAAAUGAUAUAUUUAAUUUUUACGCUUCGUUAUUUUAAAUCAUUUACUGAAAGUUUGAAAAUAAGCUCCACUCCUCAUUAUAACAGCUAUAAUGUACUUGAUGUUGAUUAUCCAACUUGGAUAACUGUGGCAAUUCUAGAGCUAAUACAUGCACCAAAGCUCUGACUUUUUGAACGAGCGCAUCUAUUAGAUUAAAACCAAUCGGAACAAAUUUGAUUUGAUCCGUUAAUUUGGUGACUCUAAAUAGCUAUAGCUGAUCGCAUGGUCUUGUACCGGCGACAUAUCUAUCAAGUGUCUGCCUUAUCAACUUUCGAUGGUAGUUUAUGUGCCUACCAUGGUUGUAACGGGUAACGGAGAAUAAGGGUUCGACUCCGGAGAGGGAGCCUGAGAAACGGCUACCACAUCCAAGGAAGGCAGCAGGCGCGCAAAUUACCCAAUCUCAGAAUGAGGAGGUAGUGACGAAAAAUAACGAGACCGUUCUCUAUGAGGCCGGUUAUCGGAAUGGGUACAAUUUAAACCUGUUAACGAGGAUCUAUGAGAGGGCAAGUCUGGUGCCAGCAGCCGCGGUAAUUCCAGCUCUCAAAGUGUAUAUCGUCAUUGCUGCGGUUAAAAAGCUCGUAGUUGGAUCUGCGUCUUAGGACUUGGUCCAUCCAAAUGGAUGUGAACUAAAAUCCUAGACUAAUAUUACAAGUUUUCUAAUGUUACCUUAAUUGGAUGCAUAUAGUAGCUAGUAAGCACCACCAGGAGUGUAGCCUGCGGCUUAAUUUGACUCAACACAGGAAAACUCACUUGGUCUGGACACCGUGAGGAUUGACAGAUUGAGAGCUCUUUCAUGAUUCGGUGGUUGGUGGUGCAUGGCCGUUCUUAGUGGCGCAUGGUCGUUCUUAGUUAGUGAAGUGAUUUAUCUGGUUUAUUCCGUAACAAGCGAGAUUCUAGCCUAUUAAAUAGUUACUGGAUAAUUUUGUCCAUACAACUUCUCGUAUUUGUAGCAAGUUUUAAAAUAAACUAUCGCAUUAUUCAAGUAAUCUUAAAAUCAGAUUAAAAUUCUCGUGCUAUCGUUACUUAUCAUAAUGCUACAUCAAAAUCUAAUCUGAUAUUAUUGAACGAAUCAAUAAUAUUACAUUAACCUUACGAUAUUUAUUUUUUCCAUUGAUCAACUUGGGGAUUGAAUAUGAAGUAAAAUUAUGCUUCAAGAUGCCUUAUCGCCUAAUUCAAAUUAAUUUGAAUGAUUUGAUUAUAUUUUAAAAUAUCGACAAAAAUACUAAUAACCUUAUUAUAACGAGAAAAUACAUGCUAUUUAUUUAUUUAUUUUUCGCACAUUUUAGGUUACUGUUUCGAGAAUCUUCUCCACUUUCGAGA